CCUGGGGCACAUGGCGGACGCAUUGGUGGUCUCAUCAAAGGGAGAAAGUCUGAUGAAGUGGCAGUAAAGGAAAGAAUUCACUGAAUGGAAAAACGUCUGGAGAAGAGUGAAGGAAACCCCUAGAAAAGGCUGCAGACCACUGUCUCCCCUUUGCCGGAGAGAGUCUGAGAGGCGGUCUCAGACCUCAUCUGCUGGGAGGCCGCCCAGGAAGGUGCGCAGUGGCGCGGGUGUUCCAGCUGCCUCUGAGGUGCUGUGUUCAUCAGGAUAGCCUGGUGGUUGCAGUAAGCAGUCCCAGCACUGUGGUGAGACUGUUUUUGCUUUCAUGCAGAGUCUGGAGCAUGUGUUCUCACUGGCAGCAUCUCCCAAGGCUCACCUUUAAGCACUGGCUUCUACACCCUUUUCAUGAUGUACCUCACCCAUCCUGGAGUUUUAGAGUAGAAGGCACAGAGGAUGUGGAGGGUCACAAGAAUGUUUUAGGGAGGCCACUGAGUGGUAUCCGAUUACUUCCCCCACCUCUUAUCAUCCACAAGUCUGAUAUAUAGUCCCUCCUAACUUCA
rnacentral:lncRNA from 1 species